CCUACGGGAGGCAGCAGUGGGGAAUUUUCCGCAAUGGGCGAAAGCCUGACGGAGCAACGCCGCGUGAGGGAUGAAGGCCUCUGGGCUGUAAACCUCUUUUCUCAAGGAAGAAGAUCUGACGGUACUUGAGGAAUAAGCCACGGCUAAUUCCGUGCCAGCAGCCGCGGUAAUACGGGAGUGGCAAGCGUUAUCCGGAAUUAUUGGGCGUAAAGCGUCCGCAGGCGGCCCUUCAAGUCUGCUGUUAAAACGUGGUGCUUAACUCCAUCAUGGCAGUGGAAACUGUUGGGCUUGAGUGUGGUAGGGGCAGAGGGAAUUCCCGGUGUAGCGGUGAAAUGCGUAGAUAUCGGGAAGAACACCAGUGGCGAAGGCGCUCUGCUGGGCCAUAACUGACGCUCAUGGACGAAAGCCAGGGGAGCGAAAGGGAUUAGAUACCCCUGUAGUCCUGGCCGUAAACGAUGAACACUAGGUGUCGGGGGAAUCGACCCCCUCGGUGUCGUAGCCAACGCGUUAAGUGUUCCGCCUGGGGAGUACGCACGCAAGUGUGAAACUCAAAGGAAUUGACGG
rnacentral:rRNA from 1 species